UGUCAUUGCAAAGUGCAGCAGCUCAAGUGGAGCCCAACAUGGACCUCAUCUACCUGCUAACGCUUUCUCUCGACCUUUAUUACACAGAAGAUGAGAUUUAUGAGCUGUCAUUGCUCAGGGAACCACGUAACCCUAAAUCAUUGCUGGCAGACCUUAUAUAGGCAGAUGUUGUGUGUCUUUCCAAAUCAUGUCCAGUCAACUGAACUGAUGACCGAAAUACAAUCUGAAAGAUGAUCAAGAGAAAUAGGAGCUGUCUUCUCCAACGACUCCCAAUAAGCCCCUGGCCCCACUUGACUGGGCCUCAGGUAUCACCACCAAACCAGACCCCUCUCUAGUCAAUAAACACAUCAGGAAGGUGGUGGAUUCUGUCUUCAGGAAUUAUGACCAUG